rnacentral:rRNA from 1 species
GACGAACGCUGGCGGCGUGCCUAAUACAUGCAAGUAGAACGCUGAAGAGAGGAGCUUGCUCUUCUUGGAUGAGUUGCGAACGGGUGAGUAACGCGUAGGUAACCUGCCUUGUAGCGGGGGAUAACUAUUGGAAACGAUAGCUAAUACCGCAUAACAAUGGAUGACACAUGUCAUUUAUUUGAAAGGGGCAAUUGCCCCACUACAAGAUGGACCUGCGUUGUAUUAGCUAGUAGGUGAGGUAAUGGCUCACCUAGGCGACGAUACAUAGCCGACCUGAGAGGGUGAUCGGCCACACUGGGACUGAGACACGGCCCAGACGCCUACGGGAGGCAGCAGUAGGGAAGCUUCGGCAAUGGGGGCAACCCUGACCGAGCAACGCCGCGUGAGUGAAGAAGGGUUUCGGAUCGUAAAGCUCUGUUGUAAGUCAAGAACGGGUGUGAGAGUGGAAAGUUCACACUGUGACGGUAGCUUACCAGAAAGGGACGGCUAACUACGUG